GCUAAUGAAAGGGUGAUUUUACAGCCUGGGAUACCAGAAUUCUGUUUAUGCAGUGAACAGCUUUGUUGGCAGCAGUGUGGAUAUCUGUGCAGAUGAAAUGUUGGAAAAUGUACAAGGAGGGUCACUGUUUGAACUAGUGUUAUAGCAGAUUACAGCUUGAUUUUUUAAGAAAAAGAAAGAACAGUACUGCACACCCUUACAUUCUCUGCAGAAAGGCGACUUGUGGCUUUUGGGAAAACCAGAGCUUCUACCUGGCAAGAAGUGGAUGGUGAACACCCAGCCUUUUUCUUCUAAGGCCUCACCAGAAGGAGAAAGAUGCUCAAGAAGAGGAAGGGUUUCCAUUCCAAAUGCACAGAGAAGAGAAGGAAGGAUAUGGCAAAGUUUUACCCCUAAAAUCCUGGCUGGGACAUACUUGCAGUAAUUGGACGAUAUAAAGGAUCACAUCCAAUGCAUCAUUUCUGACCUUGAUAACUUCAUUGCUAAAAGACACCUUGGUGUGCAGUGAAGAGACCCAAAUCUUCUUGGCAGGCAAGUAAGCAAACAUUCAGAUACCUGCACAUUAUCAGACUUACUCACUAGGACACAUCCUUU
rnacentral:lncRNA from 1 species